GUGAGAAACAGUCUUUACAUAAGAACAAUGUAAAGAAGACUCACUAAAGUACAUUGUGGGCCAGGAGCUGGCUCCAGAAAGAGAUGUUCAAAGAUAAAGCUGAGUUUCUUCAGUACGUAUUGUGUUCUCUGGCAUUGGCAGCAUCUAAUCUUGACGUGGAAGACACUUGGGGAGCCCUUGAAUGGCUGUUUCAGUAACAAGCUUAAUUUCACUCCUCAGCACUGGUGUUUUACAGCUGUUGCAGAGUAAGAAGUGUCAACUUCAUUGGACAUGAAGGAGAAAUCUCAAACAGAGCGGGAAGCAAUUAUGUAUUCAAGGUCAGGCAGAGCAAGAAACAUGCAUCAGAGCCCCCACCUGAGGCAGAUUCACUCUUCUUUGCUGUUGAAUAGCCAGAAUUCAUCUUUGAAAAAUUUACUGUGAAAAUAAAAACAACUGUCAAAUGAAGAAAAU
rnacentral:lncRNA from 1 species